rnacentral:tRNA from 1 species
ACAUCGGUAGCACAGUGGUUAGUGCUGUGUGCCGGAAUCAGGAGGACGCGGGAUCAAUUCCCGUCCGAUGUU